rnacentral:rRNA from 1 species
UACAGAGGGGGCAAGCGUUGUUCGGAAUUACUGGGCGUAAAGGGCGCGUAGGCGGCCUGUUAAGUCGAACGUGAAAUCCCCGGGCUCAACCCGGGAACUGCGUCCGAUACUGGCAGGCUUGAAUCCGGGAGAGGGAUGCGGAAUUCCAGGUGUAGCGGUGAAAUGCGUAGAUAUCAGGAGGAACACCGGUGGCGAAGGCGCACAUCUGGCCCGAUACUGACGCUGAGGCGCGAAAGCGUGGGGAGCGAACAGG